rnacentral:tRNA from 1 species
GGGCUGGGGCUCAGUGGUAGAGGGCUCGCCUACCAUGUGGGAGGCACUGGGUUCGAGUCUCAGCAGCACA